GUCUAGUGUGCAUCCGUUCCGAACGUUAUUGCACUUGUUUAUUACUUAUUACACAUUACCAGCAAUAUUACUUUAAGAUUUUAACUUUUACUGAUGGUUUUAUACCCAUAAGAGUUUCAAAUAAUGUUGUAGUUUUGGUUUUCACUUACAGACUCACUGACAGACUGUUACGUAUUUGUAUUGUAAAUUAUAGUGUUUGUGUUUGUGUCUAAGUUAAAAAUGCCACAGUGUUGUGUGGUUGGAUGUUCCGAAAGAUCGGACAAAAAAAGUGCAAAAAACAUCAGUUUUCAUGGGUUUCCCAGGAGAGAGAAGUCACCGAAGAGAUAUGCCGCUUGGGUGAAGAAAAUUUCAAGAAUUGAUUUUGUUCCUAAAGAUCAGACAGUAGUUUGUUCAAAACAUUUCAAAAACGAAGAUUUUGAAGUAUCUCCGAUAGUUGUCCAAAAUCUAGAAAUUAAACCAAAAGUGGCUUUAAAAAAGGGAGCUGUGCCCUCGCAAUAUUUAAGAGGUAAACAGACUGUUAAAAAAAGGUACACACGCGCCAGUAAACGUGUGCGCCAAAAAAAGAUUGCAGAAAUUACGGAAGUCACGCCAUCUACAAGUGAUAGACACCAAAAACAAACGGUGGAAGAAAUAUCUCCGCUAACUAAACCAAAAGUAAUUUUAAAAAAGGGAGCUAUGCCUUCGAAAUGUUUAAAAGAUAGAAGAACUGUUAAAAAAAGCACAGGCGCCACUAAGAGUGUACGUCAAAAAAAGAUCGCAAAAAUUACUAAAGUUACUCCGUCUACAAGUGGUAAAUAUGCCUAAAAUAAGUUUAGGCUUUUUAACAUGGAGCGAAUUUGUAGGUACUGUAGUGAGACCGUGAUUGAUGAUGGUUGAUCGAUGUUUAAAUGAUUUACAACUUAUUUUAAUUGAUUUAUUUAAUUAAUCUUGAAUUUUA